AUGAGACGCUGGCGGCAGGCCUACACAUGCAAGUCGAGCGCGCCCUUCGGGGUGAGCGGCGGACGGGUUAGUAACGCGUGGGAACGUGCCCUUCUCUAAGGAAUAGCCACUGGAAACGGUGAGUAAUACCUUAUACGCCCUUCGGGGGAAAGAUUUAUCGGAGAAGGAUCGGCCCGCGUUAGAUUAGAUAGUUGGUGGGGUAACGGCCUACCAAGUCUACGAUCUAUAGCUGGUUUUAGAGGAUGAUCAGCAACACUGGGACUGAGACACGGCCCAGACUCCUACGGGAGGCAGCAGUGGGGAAUCUUGGACAAUGGGGGCAACCCUGAUCCAGCCAUGCCGCGUGAGUGAUGAAGGCCUUAGGGUCGUAAAGCUCUUUCGCCUGUGAUGAUAAUGACAUACAGGUAAAGAAACCCCGGCUAACUCCGUGCGCACCGCGGUAAUACCGAGGGGGUAGCGUU
rnacentral:rRNA from 2 species